CUCUGCUUCAUAACGUAUAAUUUGUGACCAAAACACAAGAAGAGGAAAAGUGAUGAUCUAUGGAAGGUCUCAUGGGGAGGAAUUACCUGUGCAAGAUGGACUUGUAAACGAAAAUUAGUGCGAGAUAGAUGAGACCAAGAUAGGAAGUUGCUGAUAUUAAGCUGCAGCAUUGAAACCUUGAUGAAGUUAGCUACAUCAUCUGGUUCUUCAAGAAAUCCCUGAGAAAUGCUGAUUUGAGCCAGUCGAAUCCUCACCUGAAAUUGAGAUCCUUGGCAUAGGAAGAUGACAUGAGAAUGAAUGUUCCGAGACCGAAAACAAAUGCCGACUUCGGAAUCUCUCGCCACAUAACCAAAUCCACUGAAAAAUUCAGCAUGUUGAUUUGCUGUCAAACAUUCUCUUUGCCCCUUCAACUGGUCAGCAGCAAAAUCCAAGAAAGAGUCAGAUCAAGAAGGAAAAAGAGCAACAAGGAAGAAAGGCAAUUUACAAGAAGGCGGUUCGACGGGAUCUGGGUCGAUUGUCCUGUGAUUCAUCUUCUUCUUUUCUGCAUCUGAAGAUGAUACAAUCUCAGUCCAACUCUGAUUGUUUCUACAUCUGGUUUCUGAAAUGCAUAAAGAAGAAGGACUUACAAGGACGUAGUUCGACAGCAUCUGAAUCGAUUAUCCUGUGAUUCAUCUUCUUCUUUUCCGAAUCUGAUGAUGAGACAAUCUCAGUUCUAUCCUGCUUGUUUCCUACAUCUGGUUUCAGAUAUGCAUAACGAAGAACAACUUACGAGGAGGUGGUUCGACAGGAUCUGGAUCGAUUAUCUUGUGAUUAAUCCUCUUCUUUUCUGCAUCUGAAGAUGAUGCAAUCUCAGUAAAACCCUGCUUGUUUCCUACAUCUGGUUUCAGAAAUGCAAAACAAAGAAGAACUUACGAGGAGGUGGUUCGACAGGAUCUUGGUCAACUAUCCUGUGAUUCAUCUUCUUCUUUUCUGAAUCUGAUGAUGAGACAGUAUAAUUCUACUUAUUUUCCUGUAUUUUUUGAAGGAAUUACGUGAAUCCAUGAGGAAAUAAACAACUUACAAGGAAUUGGUUCGAUAGGAUCUGGAUCGAUUGCCCUCUGACUCUGCUGCUGCUCUUGCUUUUCUGCAACUGGUGAGGUCGCAAUCUCAGCACAAUUCUGCUUCUUCUCGACAACCGGCGGCGACGACGCAGGAAUCUCGUGGACCUGGUUAAUUGUCUUCUCCUCCUCCUCCUCCACGCUCUUCCCUUUCUCCACCGGCAGAUCCAUCUCCUUGUCAUCAAAGCUUUCCCUUCCCACCUCAUCCUCCAUCUCCACCUCCCCAUCAUCUCCACCGACACCCUCACUACCGUCGCCGAUCGCCAGCACCCGCACCCGCCCUACCCCUCCCAACUCCCGAGAA